ensembl:lncRNA
AAGUUAAGCGGUUCGAGCUGAAUUAAGCGCAGAAGUUCGGUACAAAGAAUAAUAACUAGAAAAUGCAUUUCCUGAAGGAAAUACCAGUGCAUGAAAUGCAAAAGUUAAGAAAGGAAGAAAAAAAAAAGAAGAGUGAAAGAACGAAAGAAGAGUGGAAGAAGAGUAAAAGAAGGAAAGAAGUGAGGAAGAAGGAAAGAAGAGUGGAAGAAGGAAAGAAGAAAGGAAAGAAGAGUGAAGAAAGGAAAGAAGAAAAAGAAAGAAGAGUGAAAGAAGGAAAGAAGAAGUGGAAGAAGAAAAGAAAGAAGGAAAGAAGAAAGGAAAGUAGAGUAAAAGAAGGAAAGAAGAGUGGAAGAAGGAAAGAAGAGUGAAGAAAGAAAAGAGAGUAGAAGAAGGAAAGAAGAGUGGAAGAAGGAAAGAAGAAAGGAAAGGAGAGUGGAAGAAGGAAAGAAGAGUGGAAGAAGGAAAGAAGAAGAGUGGAAGAAGGAAGAAUAAUAUUCCUAGUUAUA